rnacentral:rRNA from 1 species
UACGGGGGGAGCAAGCGUUGUUCGGAUUUACUGGGCGUAAAGGGCGCGUAGGCGGCCAGCACAAGUCAGUUGUGAAAUCUCCGAGCUUAACUCGGAAAGGUCAGCCGAUACUGCGGGGCUAGAGUGCAGAAGGGGCAACUGGAAUUCUCGGUGUAGCGGUGAAAUGCGUAGAUAUCGAGAGGAACACCUGCGGCGAAGGCGGGUUGCUGGGCUGACACUGACGCUGAGGCGCGAAAGCUAGGGGAGCGAACGGG